UGGCCAGUGAUGAAAUCUGUAUAAAAGAACACCAUCUUUCGGGACUGAAUGCCUUUUACAAAGGCUUUGUUGAUCAAUUCUGCAAUUCUGAGGCCA